AGAUUGAACGCUGGCGGCAUGCCUUACACAUGCAAGUCGAACGGCAGCACGGGAGCAAUCCUGGUGGCGAGUGGCGAACGGGUGAGUAAUAUAUCGGAACGUGCCCAGUCGUGGGGGAUAACGCAGCGAAAGCUGUGCUAAUACCGCAUACGAUCUAUGGAUGAAAGCGGGGGAUCGCAAGACCUCGCGCGAUUGGAGCGGCCGAUAUCAGAUUAGCUAGUUGGUGGGGUAAAAGCCUACCAAGGCGACGAUCUGUAGCUGGUCUGAGAGGACGACCAGCCACACUGGAACUGAGACACGGUCCAGACUCCUACGGGAGCAGCAGUGGGAAUUUUGGACAAUGGGCGCAAGCCUGAUCCAGCAAUGCCGCGUGCAGGAUAGAAGGCCUUCGGUUGUAAACGUGCUUUUGUACGGUAACGUAAACGGUUCUACGUCUAAGUACGAGGGCCUAAGUGACGGUACCGUAAGAACUAAGACACCGGACUAACGUACGUAGACCCG
rnacentral:rRNA from 1 species